rnacentral:rRNA from 1 species
AUUGAACGCUGGCGGCGUGCUUAACACAUGCAAGUCGAUCGGUAACAGGUGUAGCAAUACAUGCUGACGAGAGGCGGACGGGUGAGUAAUGCUUGGGAAUCUGCCUAUUAGUGGGGGACAACCCGGGGAAACUCGGGCUAAUACCGCAUACGCUCUACGGAGGAAAGCCGGGGACCGCAAGGCCUGGCGCUAAUAGAUGAGCCCAAGUCGGAUUAGCUAGUUGGUAGGGUAACGGCCUACCAAGGCGACAAUCCGUAGCUGGUCUGAGAGGACGACCAGCCACACCGGAACUGAGACACGGUCCGGACUCCUACGGGAGGCAGCAGUGGGGAAUAUUGGACAAUGGGGGCAACCCUGAUCCAGCGACGCCGCGUGGGUGAAGAAGGCCUGCGGGUUGUAAAGCCCUUUCGGUGGGAAG